ACUGCUCAGUAACACGUGGAUAACCUGCCCAAGGGUUCGGGAUAACCCCGGGAAACUGGGGAUAAUACCGGAUGGAUCACUAGUGCUGGAAUGCUUGGUGGUUUAAAGGUAACGCCUUUGGAUGGGUCUGCGGCGGAUUAGGUUGACGCCGGUGUAACGUACCGGCGUGCCUGUAAUCCGUACGGGUUGUGGGAGCAAGAGCCCGGAGAUGGAUUCUGAGACACGAAUCCAGGCCCUACGGGGCGCAGCAGGCGCGAAAACUCUACAAUGCAGGCAACUGCGAUAGGGGGACAUCGAGUGGCAUCCACCCUGGGUGCCUGUCCAACCGUCUAAAAAACGGUUGUUAGCAAGGGCCGGGUAAGACCGGUGCCAGCCGCCGCGGUAAUACCGGCGGCUCGAGUGGUGGCCGAUAUUAUUGAGUCUAAAGGGUCCGUAGCCGGCUUUGCAAGUCCCCUGGGAAAUCCAGCGGCUUAACCGUUGGGCUUUCAUGGGAUACUACAUUGCUUGGGACUGGGAGAGGUAGGAGGUACUCGGGGGGUANGGGGUGAAAUCCUGUAAUCCUCCGGGGACCACCGGUGGCGAAGGCGUCCUACCAGAACAGGUCCGACGGUGAGGGACGAAAGCUAGGGGCACGAACCGGAUUAGAUACCCGGGUAGUCCUAGCCGUAAACGAUGCCCGCUAGGUGUCACGACGGUCGUGAAUCGUCGUGGUGCCGUAGGGAAGCCGCGAAGCGGGCCACUUGGGAAGUCGGCGCA
rnacentral:rRNA from 1 species